rnacentral:rRNA from 1 species
UUAUACCGUGAAACUGCGAAUGGCUCAUUAAAUCAGUUAUCGUUUAUUUGAUAGUACCUUACUACUUGGAUAACCGUGGUAAUUCUAGAGCUAAUACAUGCUAAAAACCCCAACUUCGGAAGGGGUGUAUUUAUUAGAUAAAAAACCAAUGCCCUUCGGGGCUCUUUGGUGAUUCAUGAUAACUUCUCAGAUCGCAUGGCCUUGCGCCGGCGACGGUUCAUUCAAAUUUCUGCCCUAUCAACUUUCGAUGGUAAGGUAUUGGCUUACCAUGGUUUCAACGGGUAACGGGGAAUUAGGGUUCGAUUCCGGAGAGGGAGCCUGAGAAACGGCUACCACAUCCAAGGAAGGCAGCAGGCGCGCAAAUUACCCAAUCCCGACACGGGGAGGUAGUGACAAUAAAUACUGAUACAGGGCUCUUUUGGGUCUUGUAAUUGGAAUGAGUACAAUUUAAACCUCUUAACGAGGAACAAUUGGAGGGCAAGUCUGGUGCCAGCAGCCGCGGUAAUUCCAGCUCCAAUAGCGUAUAUUAAAGUUGUUGCAGUUAAAAAGCUCGUAGUUGAACCUUGGGCCUGGCUGGCAGGUCCGCCUCACCGCGUGUACUUGACCGGCCGGGCCUUCUCUUCUGGAGAACCUCAUGCCCUUUACUGGGCGUGUUGGGGACCAGGACUUUUACUUUGAAAAAAUUAGAGUGUUCAAAGCAGGCCUUUGCUCGAAUAUGUUAGCAUGGAAUAAUAGAAUAGGACGUGCGGUCCUAUUUUGUUGGUUUCUAGGACCGCCGUAAUGAUUAAUAGGGACAGUCGGGGGCAUCAGUAUUCAAUUGUCAGAGGUGAAAUUCUUGGAUUUAUUGAAGACUAACUACUGC